GACGAACGCUGGCGGCAUGCUUAACACAUGCAAGUCGAGCGGUAAGGCCCUUUCGGGGUACGACGAGCGGCGAACGGGUAGGAGUAACAACGUGGGUGGACCUCGCCCUCCAGCUCUGGGAGUAAGACCUCGGGAAACCGGGGUACCGUAAUAACUGGAGUAUGACUCCACUGACGCAUGUUGUGGGGUGGGAAAGACCUU
rnacentral:rRNA from 1 species